UGUGUUGGCGUUUCAGCAGAUGACUGUCUACAUUGAAGUGAAACGUUUUAGCUGUUGUGAAGGUGCAAACUCAAAGUCAAAGGAAUACGUAUUUAUGUUCAUAUGUCUUUAGAUUUUUUAUGCUCAAUGGUGUAUGUUGGUUGUAGUGAAAAGAGGAAUUUUGGUUAUUAUUUACUAACUUUUUAGGCGGAACAAAGUUUAUAAAGUGAAAAAGUUGCAGACCAGUUUUGGAUCACACAAUUGCAUCACAAGAUUUCCCUCGUGAUUCGUGUUCCUUGAAGUGGAAGCUACGAGUUCAGUUCAUCUCUCAGUCUGACUGGGCAAAAUUCAAACCUCCCUAAAAGUGAUCAGUGAAAACAGCACCACACACCAUGGCAACCUGCAGCGUUUUCUGCUUUGUCAUUGGACUCCACACGUUAUUAGCACAAGCAGGGAGGCAAGCUAUAACCAAAUCACAUUGCCUUACUUCAUUGCCCCAAGGCCAUCUACAACACAGCAAAACAUCAUCAUCCUUCAUCGGCUUCACUCUAUAAGGCUGAAAGUGACUCUGGCUCUCCAUGGAGAUGUAGCACUCGUAAUGAAGCAAGCUGGUCCUUGACAAUGAUGAAGCUAGCAACUUCCUCAACGUGGAAUGAACAUCGAUGUUGAAUGCUGCGAAAAGAUCGGAUACGGAAGUUAUGCCUCUCAUUGAUUCAUCACGACAGUUGUCCCUCACGCUUCUACCUCUUUUACGGUUAAUUUUAUCCUCAACGGAUCGUCCGUCGUGGUCACAUUCACAUCUGGGGCACCGAGAACAAGUCACACACAACUUUAUUUUACAGCUGCAAACUGAAGUCAUGACGGAAGCAAGAAGGAUUUGACACUGAGCUUUCCUGACGUAGGAAAAGGCUUUCAAGGGAAGACGUGAACUACAUAAAGUUUUAUUAGCGCGACAUAAAAGUUAACCGAGAUAAACUUAUCCUAUACAUUUUUUUCCCCAUUCAAGGUUAACUUUUCUACCAUGAAUAUGCGUCAUGGGGCCGGACUCUAACCAAAAUUCUACCCUUUCUGGACAGUUCAACGGAGAUGUCUUUGCAUGGUAAACCUACACGGUAACAUUGUUUUAGUUGGUGAUUUAUCGCUUUAACAUUUUAUGUCAAGUGCAAUGAUAGUCAUAUUUCUGUUACGGAAUGUAGUAGCUGAGCGGACACAUCAACCCACUUGUGCUAUAUUUACUUAUUUGUCAAGUUUGCUUUCAGAUUUCGUGCUGCCUCGUAAUAACAAAUUUCUAUCUGUAUUUACUUCACUUUUAUUAUGUACCCAUAAAGUCAGUACCUGUACAAUCGCAACCCCUACAACUCUUAAGGUUCAAAUAAACAAAGACGUGUGUAAAUCUUUUUGAUGCUGUCUCUCACAUUUCAUUUAUAUCACAAUGGAAAUUGAAAUUACAACACAAUGAAAAUCCA